UCUAGUCACAUGUUCUCUUUUGGUUUUCUUAGUUGCACUGUGAAAUGUAGCCUCAUGAUUCUGUUGGUUGUGUGUGUUAAUGACAAGAGAAAGUUUCCUAAAACUUGAAUUUGAUAGUUCGAAAGCUCCAGCAGCUACCAAAAAUGGUCCUUGAGAUGAGGGUGCUCUGUCACUAAAGUUUCAAUCUCAACCUGCAAGUCAACAUUGGUGAGAAUAGCUUGCUUUUUAGAAAAAUCAAUAAUUCUGUGAAAACUGUCUGCUGAUGAAGAUUGUGUGAUGUGAUUGAAAGCACAAGAACAGCUGCUAAAUGGAGCUUGAGGUGAGACUGUUUUGUCAAGUAUAACAUGGUGUUAGAUUUGGCUGUGCAAAUUCUUUUCCCACUUGCUGGACUUUGACAGUAGUGACACACUCCCUCCCUGCUCUGUUUUUGUAUUUGGAUUAGCGCAUUUUGUUUCACCACCGCUGUCUUAUUGCAAAACACUUUGGUCACUUAGGAACUUGUUUACACUGUUUGGCAGUCUAACAUUACAACACAUUGUCACAGGACAAUGUGUCAGAGACCUUUUGAUGCUAUAGUGAUUUCCCAGUUGUGUGUAGAGGUCAGUAAAAGUCAUUGGUUACCUCACAUUGCUUAUCUUUCUGAGACAUAUGUUUGAUAAAAGUGGCCUUGAUUACUAUAGACAUCAAGGUGGAAGAAUGAGGUGUGGAAUUAUGAAGCCUUCCAUAUGAGCAGUGUGGAUGUGUAACACAUGUUCAGAGUCUGAGGGACGAAGAUUCUUCGACCAGAUUUGAUCCUUUUUUCUAUUUCUGAGGUAUACCUUUGGGAGACCUGAGUGGGUGAGCUGUCAAGACAAGAAUGAGUUGCUUCGGAGAAGAUGAGCUAACCCUGACCCAACUUGAAAUAGCUUACUCUGGGGAUUUCACCAAUUGUUUUGAGACAAAGGAAGAGCAUUGAUUGUGUUGUUUAUGACGUUCAGUGACUUCUCGGGACUACAGAAAAUGGGAUUGAAUGAAGUGAAGAAGUCUUUCCAACUCCAAUCCCAAGUUGUUUUUCCAGGCACAGUGGUGAAUCACAUUUUUUUACCCACUAACUGUGGUUUUGCAUGUAAAGCUUUUUGUGAAAAGGUAAAAAUGUGGGUGGAAACAGUUUUUUUAACGUACAUAUGGAAAAGAUCAAAGUAUAAAUAGAAAUCUUCACAUGUGAAGUCAUGCGAGCUACAUGAAACCAUAAAUACAGUAAAAAAAUGUUCACCCAUGAACCUUCAUGUGCCCAAAAUAUACAGUAGAUUUGAAUUUAUAUCCGGGGAUACAUUAUAUUGCUUUGUUUUUUUGUUUUUUUAGUUUAUAUGUCAAGCAUACCUAUGUGAAUGCUGGUUUGUUAAUGUGAUUUUGAAAAGUGUCAAAAAACAAGCCCAUUGUCUGAGAUGGACAGUAACAUCCAAUAAAAAUACGGUUAAUGAUAACAUCAAUAACACAUGCGAUGAUAAUUUGAAGUGGGGUGGGGGAAUAAAACAUCAUCUAUCUGUA